rnacentral:rRNA from 1 species
AAGCCAGACGGAGCGACGCCGCGGGAGCGAAGAAGGCCACCGGGACGCAAAGCACAGGAGAGAGGGACGAAGGAGCGCCGANAGAACAAGGCGGCGCGGCGACGGCACCACACGAGGAAGCCCCGGCNAACUACGCGCCAGCAGCCGCGGNAACACGNAGGGGGCGAGCGACGCCCGGAACCAAAGGGCGCAAAGCGCGCGCAGGCGGCCCCCCAAGCCCGAGGCGAAAGCCCACGGCCCAACCGAGGAGGGACAUAGGAAACCGGGGGACUUGAGAGCAAGAGAGGAGAGCGGAACCCCCCGCGAAGCGAGGAAACGCCCAGAGACGGGGAGGAACACCAGAGGCGAAGGCGGCUCUCUGGCCUGCAACUGACGCUGAAGCGCGAAAGCGUGGGGAGCAACCAUGAUUAGAUACCCUGGUAGUCCGCGCUGUAAUCGAUGAGUGUUAAGUGUUAGAGGGGUCACACCGUUUUGUGCUGCAGUUUACGCGAUAAGCACUCCGCAUGGUGAGUUCGACUGCAAGGCUGAAACUCAAAGGAAUUGACGGGGGCCCGCACAAGCGGUGGAGCAUGUGGUUUAAUUAGAUAGCAGCGCGAAGAACUUUAAUAGGUCUUGACAUCCCCUGACAACCCAAGAGAUUGGGCGUUCCCCUUUUGGGGUGACAGGGUGACAGCUGGUGCAUGGUUG